rnacentral:rRNA from 1 species
AGCAGCCGCGGUAAUUCCAGCUCCAAUAGCGUAUAUUAAAGUUGCUGCAGUUAAAAAGCUCGUAGUUAAAUUUCGGGACCAUCAUGUCGGUCGUGCCUCGGUACGUACUGGCAUUGUUGGUUUCUCCCUUCUGAUGAACCAUGAUGUCAUUUAUUUGGUGUUGUGGGGAGUCAGGACUGUUACUUUGAAAAAAUUAGAGUGUUUAAAGCAGGCUCACGCUUGAAUACAUUAGCAUGGAAUAAUGAAAUAGGACGUUUGAUUCUAUUUUGUUGGUUUCUAGGGUCGACGUAAUGAUUAAUAGGGAUAGUUGGGGGCAUUAGUAUUCAAUUGUCAGAGGUGAAAUUCUUGGAUUUAUUGAAGACUAACUACUGCGAAAGCAUUUGCCAAGGAUGUUUUCAUUAAUCAAGAACGAAAGUUAGGGGAUCGAAGACGAUUAGAUACCGUCGUAGUCUUAACCAUAAACUAUGCCGACUAGGGAUCGGAUGAUGUUAAUCUUUUAAUGACUCAUUCGGCGCCUUAA